GGGCCGGUAGCUCAGUUGGUUAGAGCAGGGGACUCAUAAUCCCUUGGCCGUGGGUUCAAGUCCCACCCGGCCCA
rnacentral:tRNA from 1 species